GUGCUCGCUCCGGCAGCACGUACACUAAACUGGAACGAUACAGGGAUUAUAAUGGCCCCUGCACAAAGAUGACACGCAAAUUCAUGAAGCGUUCCGUAAUUUA
rnacentral:snRNA from 1 species